rnacentral:rRNA from 1 species
UACAGAGGUCCCAAGCGUUGUUCGGAUUCAUUGGGCGUAAAGGGCUCGUAGGCGGUUUGUCGCGUCGGGAGUGAAAACCUACAGCUUAACUGUGGGCUUGCUUUCGAUACGGGCAGACUAGAGGUAUGCAGGGGAGAACGGAAUUCCUGGUGUAGCGGUGAAAUGCGCAGAUAUCAGGAGGAACACCGGUGGCGAAGGCGGUUCUCUGGGCAUUACCUGACGCUGAGGAGCGAAAGUGUGGGGAGCGAACAGG